UACGUAGGGUGCGAGCGUUAAUCGGAAUUACUGGGCGUAAAGCGUGCGCAGGCGGUUCGUUGUGUCGGUGGUGAAAUCCCCGGGCUUAACCUGGGAAUGGCCAUGGAAACUGGCGAACUGGAGUGCGGCAGAGGGGGGUGGAAUUCCGCGUGUAGCGGUGGAAUGCGCAGAUAUCAGGAGGAACACCAAUAGCGAAGGCAGCUCGCUGGGACGGUACUGACGCUAAGGCGCGAAAGCGUGGGGAGCGAACAGG
rnacentral:rRNA from 1 species